CUCAGCACUGAUGGAGGGGUUGGCAGGGAGAUCAAACGACGUGGAGAAGUAGAGGAUGGAAUCGGCACAUUUGGGAGAGAAGAAGAAGAGGCAUCACUCAGGCACAGAAAAGGGAGAAAGAAAAAAAAAAGACUUUUCAUGUUGCAAUCAUUCGAGUGUGCUAUUAUGGUGAGAGGCUUUUGUGCUUUUAAAGAUUUAUUUCUGUUCCUAGUAUAGAAUAAAUUGUACAACAAACACUAGUAUAGGUUUGAAUUUAUCGUGGGUUUUCUCUAAUCCACAGAUGAUUAAAAUUUUACUUAGGGGCUCAUAUGUAUACAUACAUCAUCAGUAAUAUUUGGCUAGGUGUUGAUGAUUGAUUCUGGCCAAAAAUUGCCCUGGUUCCAUGACACAGAUCCAGAUUUUAAGCACAGCUUUAGUUUUUCAACAGAGUGAAGGUCAGAGCUUCACUAAACCAAUUCCAGAAGCUUAGUAAUUCCUGAUUUGUCCCUUCAGAAAUGAGUUUUAAUGUUCUGGGAUCAUCAUCCUGUUCGGUCACCCAUUCGUGUCCAGGUUUUCAACCAGCUGGACCAAACCGUCCCUCCCUCCGACCCUUCUAGAUUGUUUAAUAAGUGCAGAAACCUCCCAGGCUCCAAACAUCUAUCAUGAGCUGGAAGUUGAUGGAGCACAAUCCACAUCAUUAUCCACAGUGAAGCACGUUUUAACACAACUAUGGGGUGACAGGCUGCAGACCAAGAAAGAAGCCGCUUUUCCUAAACCAACCUUGAAUAUCAACUAAAAUUUGCAACUGUCUACAUAGACAAACCAAAUGAGAGCAACUCUUAUUAGUCAGAUGAAAAAAAAAAAGUAGAAAAGAUGAGAACGUUUGAAGGAGUCAUGAUGAGACAUUAAAAUCGGUGUGUGACUUCAUUGGUAGAGCAGGUGCACCAUGGGUAGAGACUGUAGUCCUUAAUAUUGUUAACCUGAUUUGAUUCCCAAUUACAUGUUUCCCUUUCUCAUCCAUUUUCUUCCCAUCAAAUUACUGUUCAUCCAACUCCAAAGUAUGGUGAUGGCAGAAUCAUGUGGAAAUGUUUUGCUAUCUGUGACAGUGGUGGAUUAAAUAUUUUAGAGGUAAAAAAAUAUCCAUCUCAUCUUAUAUCCUAUUUAUAUUUGAUCUGAAAUCAGAAGAGAAACAUAGUUGGUUGUUCCAGCAGGAUAAUGAUCCCAAACUUGCAUCAAAACUCUUUGAAAAGGAUAAAGCGAGCUACUGCUGACCAAAACCGGAGCUUUCUAAAAAGGCCCUGAGAUCAAAAUGUUAUCAGUUUUCCUUAACAGCUAAAUAAGAAUCAGAGGCAGCUUACAAAAGCAAAUCUCUGAAUAACCUGCACCCUCCUUAACCGGCUGACAUUAUUUUGACAAAUGGUGGUCCUUAUUUUUGUUACAAUCUUGCUACUAAUUGAGCAGCUUGGGAUAAACGCGAGGUAUCGAUGCGUUUUAACCCCACAGCGAAAUGACUUUAUAUUUCACGCGUCCACAUGCCUCAGAGGCCAGUCAAUUAUACAAUGCUGCCUUUAAUGAGGAGACAUUGUCAUAAGGGACAAAGAACAAACAGAGGCUCAGUCUUUGCUUUGAAAAGCUUAGAUUUAAAUACACACAAGUGAAAAUGUUCUCAUUAAAGACAACAUUCAAUAAGCGUGAUGCACUCUGUACACCGCUGCCUGGGGUAACCUAAAGAGAAGCUGGAAGGCCCGGUUCAGUAAUAAGACCUUAACAUGACUAUUUUACCUGCACUAAUGGACUCUAACCCAAUGAUGCAGAGAUUUCUUAUUAUAUAUGUGAUUUACAAGGCUUUUUCAUGCUCCCACGUUUUCGAUCCGAGGACUGCAGGGGACUUUUUAACACAAUUACACUGUAAUGGUGGGGUAAGCACAAAUGCAGGCUUCAUCCGACAUGGUCUCACGAAAUGGACCAAAGGGAAAUCUGCAUCUGUGAUGAAGGUGAAAUAUUACAGCUGAAUAUAGGCUACUCUUUGUAAAAUUGCUUUUGCUCGAUUUAGCUUUAUUUCAGUAAAACCAAGUGUUUUGAUAUCAGCCAGAGCAGAGCUGAGUUCUAAAAAUUUUACUUUAAAUUUACGGGAAAGAGACACAACCAGCCCGACAUGUAACACUUGAGCCCUUGAGCGUGACUCCAGCACCACGCUGACGGACAAAAAUAGGUGAGAAAGAUAAAUCUUUGUGACUGAUAGGAGAAAUGCACCCGUUUCUCCCCAGAGUGAGUCGUGAGCGUCCAUCUGCACUGCCAGCUGUUCAUCUUUCAAGUCCAGAAAGCUUUUCACCACCUGCAGAAAAGAAAUAACACAUUUUGACAGUCUUCUAUUGCUGCCUUGCUGCGUGCAGAACAGACCAAAGCACUAGCGGAGCUUGAAGUAGAGAAAAUAACAAUCGGCUUCAAAGGAAAUCUCCUGCGUCUGCAGAGAACUCGCACCGUGAUCUACAUACAGAUGUAUUUCAUCGGCGUUAAAAAUGGUUGUUUUGUUUUUUUCAUCUGAGUCGUACCUGCGUGUGUCCAACACUGGCCGCGGCCGUCACCGCUUGCUGGGCUGCCUGUGUUUUCCCAGUCGUCGUCUCGUUGCCAUGUUGCUGCUGCGGAUCGGCGGGAAUAUCUGCGCCCCAAUCCUGGCCCAGCAAGAUGCCGGUGAUUUCCGCAUGGCCUUUCAGCCCGGCAUGGACCAGCGCACACUGGCCACUCUUAUCAGCGUGCCCCACCUGGCAACAGAGGGGAACACAGAGGGACCCUCAACCCUCAGCCUGGCCGAAGCUGUAAUACACUGGCCUAGAUCAGUCCUGUUUAUUUCAUCUCUCUCCCAGAAUAGAUCUUCAAACUGUGGUGACUGUAAAACCAGAGCAGUCCAGAUAUCUUAAGAGGCAGAGUUCUGUCACUGUAGUGCAGAAUAUUACUGUAAGAACCUUUUCAAAUGCGGAUACAAGCAUAAAAAUCUGUAUGCCCACCCCUUACAUCGUAUGUUUCUUCUUAUUUCCCAUUGGCCACAUGAAUUUCAGUAUCAUAGCCAUGUUUUAAAUCGGACAAAGUUUUUGACACCUUUUACACCAAUUAUUGCCAUAAAACGUUACCCAUUAUUAUGGAUGAACUUUAUCAAACCUGAAACUGAGGACUUUGCUCUUUGUAUGUCUCACCUCAGUCGUCAACUGGGAGGAGAUGAAGAUGUGUGACAGACUGAGAGACAGUUGUCUUUAUGGUUAGCUUUAGCCGUUUAGCAUUAGCAGAGCUAAGAUUCUUGUUUAGCGGAUUAAUGGAACUUUUUUCGGUUAGCUGUGCUCACCAGAGGAAAUAACUACUGCCGAUUUUAGUACGAACAUAUAUUCUCCAUCACGCCAUGGCGGCCAUUUUGAAAAAUGUCCACAAGAAAAAGGAACUCGCAAGAUCAAGAAUAUGUAUCUGAUUUCUAUGGCUCAAAGUAUGUACGUAGCUUUAAUUUAAUUCCGAACACAUUCAUCUAAUUGAUGAGUUUGCUAUGACAACCAGGUUGGCCAUCUUGAAAAAUAUAAACAUUCUCAGUAAACAUGAUUUUUACUGGUCCAAUCAUGUAUCACUUGACACCAAAAGUAUUCUUCUGUGAUAAAAAUGGGCAAAUUUAGUGGAAAAAAAAAUCUUCCAUGACAACCAUCUUGAAGAAACUUUAAUUUUUCAGUAGCUAACUUUUUUUUUUUCUUUUUCAAAACAGCAAGCCACUGAAGCAUCUCUGCCAAGUGAGGUUCUUGUAUCCACAUAGCAGGCUGACGAUGUCGGCGUGUCCCGCCGCAGCCGCCAGACAAAGCGGCGUCAUGCCACUGCCAGUGGUCCCGUCUACAGGCGCACCCAUUUCAAGCAACAAAGCCACCAUCUCCACAUGACCCAGGUGGGCAUGAACAGCCAGGAUGGGGGCGUGUCCUAUCACCUCCGUACACCAGGUCACACUGGCCCCACCGAGCAUCAGCAAACGGCUUACCUGCAACAUCAUUUUCACAAGCAACAAAAUAUAUAUUGUUGUCUAAAUUAUCUCCGUGCAGAAAGAUGUUUUGUUAAAGCUCACUGCUGUGUGUCACCUUGAUGUUAGGGGUGUACAGGUUCCUCAGGGAGCCCAGUGCAGCUGACAGACUAUCUGUGCUGCAGUUUACCCACAUGGCCUGAAGAACGCUGGAGGACACGCCAGUCUUCUUACUCAGACCCUGUGUGAGGAACACAAACACAGAGUCAGAUAACACCUGCUCCGCUCUGCACGGCACAAUCUGAAUCGUGUCUCAGGAGUAAAUCAACAUGAACAGCGUGAAGCACCCACACGGGCGGAACAAUAUCAGCUGUGGGUGUUUACGUAUGUGACUAGUGGUUGAUGUUAAGGGAUUUUUUUUUUUUAAAGUGAGGUUGUAUGGAGGUAUUAUGAGUAGUCAGUGUCUUCUAAACAGUAGAGGUGAACCGAGUAUGAAGAAUAAAGGGGAAUCAUCAUAGUCAACCAAAAUAAUGGCUUAAAAACAUCAGUCUGUGUGUAAUUAAAUAAUAUGUUUCACUGAAUGACUUGAGUCUGAAGUGAAUUAACCUUUUAAUAUUAUUAUUUAUUGAAAAUGGACUGCAUGUCACUAAAUAUUACACAUCUCAACUUUUGCAUGAGGCAAUUAUUAAAAUGUUCCCACCUAGUUAAUACCUGAUAGUAGCUACGUAAUAAUAAUUUAAACAAAUUAAAAAUGCACUCAAACUGCUAGUAAUGUUUAAGUUUGGGUUGCUUAAGGGGCAUUAUAUGUACUAUAAAUAAACACCGACUACUUAUUAUAAGCCCAUACAACCUUACCCACCUCCCCCCACCAAAAAAAAAAAACCUGACUUUUACAGACCAGAGGAAGAUGUUCAUAUGUUCAGUAACGGGCCUAAAGUUAAACACAGACUCCUCGGAGGUGUUGUUACUUUGAAAAUGUGGGCUUUGAGGAUGUGGUGUCCCAGCUCCAUGGUCUGCUGACGGUUCAGCUUUCCCUCCUGUCUGGAGAACAUGAAAGCCAGCAGAGCGUGGCCACUCCUGUAGACACACGCGUGCAAGAGUUUGAUCGUUUGAGCGCUCAGACACCAAAACUGAUGUAUCAUGAAUAGAAAUUUAGGCUCACCUCGGGUCACAAAGAAAAUCUGUGCUUUCUCCAUCCGCUCUCCAAACCAGCCACUCUCUGAAGGAGGGAUGGCACAGCAUCCGAGUGCCAUCCCUGCGUCUGACCUUCAAAUCGCAAUAAUUGAGAAAAAAUGAGUCAAAUUACACGUUGGGUUGUUUGAGGGGCAUGUUUGCAACUACAUGGACCCUGACUCACAAUUACAUUGAUCUACGUCAGUCUAGCAAAGGUUUCUAUGAUCAAAUCCUCACAGUAA